GAUGAACGCUAGCUACAGGCUUAACACAUGCAAGUCGCGGGGUAACAUCUGGUAGAGCUUGCUCUUCCAGGAUGACGACCGGCGCACGGGUGAGUAACGCGUAUCCAACCUGGCCCAUACCACGGGAUAGCCCGUCGAAAGGCGGAUUAAUACCGUAUGCUGUCAUUAAGAUGCAUAUAUUGAUGACGAAAGGACUGGCGGUAUGGGAUGGGGAUGCGUCUGAUUAGCUUGUUGGCGGGGUAACGGCCCACCAAGGCGACGAUCAGUAGGGGUUCUGAGAGGAAGGUCCCCCACAUUGGAACUGAGACACGGUCCAAACUCCUACGGGAGGCAGCAGUGAGGAAUAUUGGGUCAAUGGGGCGCAAGCCUGAACCAGCCAAGUAGCGUGAGGGAAGACUGCCCUACGGGUUGUAAACCUCUUUUGUUUGGGAAUAAAGUGCGGGACGUGUCCCGCAUUGCAUGUACCAUUUGAAUAAGGACCGGCUAAUUCCGUGCCAGCAGCCGACGG
rnacentral:rRNA from 1 species